rnacentral:rRNA from 1 species
CCCGCUGAACUUAAGCAUAUCAAUAAGCGGAGGAAAAGAAACUAACAAGGAUUCCCCUAGUAACGGCGAGUGAAGAGGGAAAAGCUCAAAUUUGAAAUCUGGCAGUCUACGGCUGUCCGAGUUGUAAUCUAGAGAAGUGUUUUCCGUGCUGGACCGUGUACAAGUCCUUUGGAACAAGGCGUCAUAGAGGGUGAGAAUCCCGUCUACGACACGGACUGCCAGUGCUCUGUGAUACACUCUCAACGAGUCGAGUUGUUUGGGAAUGCAGCUCAAAAUGGGUGGUAAAUUCCAUCUAAAGCUAAAUACAGGCGAAAGACCGAUAGCGAACAAGUACCGUGAGGGAAAGAUGAAAAGCACUUUGGAAAGAGAGUUAAACAGUACGUGAAAUUGUUGAAAGGGAAACGCUUGAAGUCAGUCGCGUCUUCAGAAAUUCAGCCUGGCCUUCUGCCUGGUGUACUUUUCUGUUGGACGGGCCAGCAUCAGUUUCGGCCGCCAGAAAAAGGUGGGAGGAAGGUGGCACCUCCGGGUGUGUUAUAGCCUCCCAUCGUAUGUGGUGGCUGGGACUGAGGACCGCAGCACGCCUCUAAUGGCCGGGGUUCGCCCACGUAACGUGCUUAGGAUGCUGGCGUAAUGGCUUUAAACGACCCGUCUUGAAACACGG